rnacentral:rRNA from 1 species
UUGCUUUUGAAGAUGACGAGCGGCGGACGGGUGAGUAAUGCCUGGGAAUUUGCCCAUUUGUGGGGGAUAACAGUUGGAAACGACUGCUAAUACCGCAUACGCCCUACGGGGGAAAGCAGGGGACCUUCGGGCCUUGCGCUGAUGGAUAAGCCCAGGUGGGAUUAGCUAGUAGGUGAGGUAAAGGCUCACCUAGGCGACGAUCCCUAGCUGGUCUGAGAGGAUGAUCAGCCACACUGGGACUGAGACACGGCCCAGACUCCUACGGGAGGCAGCAGUGGGGAAUAUUGCACAAUGGGGGAAACCCUGAUGCAGCCAUGCCGCGUGUGUGAAGAAGGCCUUCGGGUUGUAAAGCACUUUCAGCGAGGAGGAAAGGGUGUAAGUUAAUACCUUACAUCUGUGACGUACUCGCAGAGAGACCCCUCC